GAUGAACGCUGGCGGUAUGCUUAACACAUGCAAGUCGAACGGACUCUUCGGAGUUAGUGGCGGACGGGUGAGUAACGCGUGAGAAUCUGGCUUUGGGUUCGGGACAACCACUGGAAACGGUGGCUAAUACCGGAUGUGCCGAGAGGUAAAAGAGAAAUUGCCUGAAGAUGAGCUCGCGUCUGAUUAGCUAGUUGGUGGGGUAAAGGCUCACCAAGGCAGCGAUCAGUAGCUGGUCUGAGAGGAUGACCAGCCACACUGGGACUGAGACACGGCCCAGACUCCUACGGGAGGCAGCAGUGGGGAAUUUUCCGCAAUGGGCGAAAGCCUGACGGAGCAAUACCGCGUGAGGGAAGAAGGCUCUUGGGUUGUAAACCUCUUUUCUUAGGGAAGAACAAAAUGACGGUACCUAAGGAAUCAGCAUCGGCUAACUCCGUG
rnacentral:rRNA from 1 species